UCUGUCCCAUUGCAGCAAUGCCUUCAGCGGGUUGGGAAACACAGCCAUCAAAAUGAACGGCUCAGUGUGUCACCAGAAACUUCUGAAACCUGAAGGAGAGCCGAAUUCAGAAAAUGUGACAGGCAGGGCCACGGAGAUAAACCACAAGCCUCCGGAACUCUUGGGGAUGCAGAUAGGCGCUACCCAGGGCUGUUUGAUUAUGUUGGUAAUUAUAUUAAUUAUGCACAGGUAUUUACUGCGGUUUCUCUCCUCAAAUACACUUUGCCCAAACUGAUUAAAAAAUUCUCCACUUUCUGGAAGGCUGGGAAUGUGUUUUCUUGUUCUCAAUGAUGUCCAGUUUAGAAAAGGGAAUUUGGUGAGAGCUACUCAGAACAAGUGCAUUAAGCACAAGUGAGGAUCCCAUGUGUCCUUGCAAUCAUCUGUCAGCUCAAAAACACGUGCCUUCCCACGAGAGCUCCUCAACCCGAAGACAAGCAAGUAGAGGAGAUGAGAGGUCAAAAGUUGGAGGCAAUGGAAAGUUGGAUUUCAGUUUGAAUCAAAAUUCUGCGUAGUCAGUACGCACGGGUCACAGCAUUGUGAGGAGAUUAUCCUGGAGUGAGUUCAAGAGCGUAACCUAUGAGCUCAGCAUCUGUGGGUGUGACAAGGAGUUGAUGAAUAAGCGGUUGGGGGAACGAAGAACCUGCCAUCCCGAACAGGCAGCCAAGACACAAGCCAGGCACCAUCCCAACCAAGCAAUAACCUGUCACUUGCAGUGGCUCAGAGACCUGAAGGAAAGACCCCACCAAGCCCAGAUCUUAUCCAUUAGGGAAAAUGGCUGAAGCAAAACACGCUGACAAUUAAUUGUAUCAACCAAGAUGAAGUGUGACUAGUUCUAUGUAAUAAGAUGAGAUGUAUGGAUUUUCCCUGCUCAGUCCUCUUAGACCUCUGAGGGAAUUGCUCUGUCUCAUCCCAAGUGUUUCUGGUGUGUUGUCCAUCAAGAUUCCUGGUCACUGGGGUGGCCCUCACCAACGGUGAUCAGAAUAAGAAGGGCAAGCAGGAGACAGACCCAAGCAGGACAAAUCCAUUGACAUGCAGAUGCUGAAAGAAAGAAGCUUGAGAAGGAGAAGAAACUUCAAAUGAUGAAGUGACUUGCCUAAAUUUUCCCAGCCUAUAAAAGCAGAGCUGGAAUGUGAACCCAGAAACUUCUGUAACCACCACACUUCAAGGUGGAAACACCUUGUGCCAAAGGCCUCCUGUAGGAUUCCUCUCGAGCUUCAUCCCAGGAAAGAGGGAUGGGAGCAUCAGGGUUUGCUUGGAUCUGCGGUUCUCAGCUGGGGUGGUGAAGCCUUGCAAAGGAGCAGAGCACAUUUUCAGUGGGCACAGUGAUUCUGACCAUUCGCGCCUGGAGACGUAAAGGCCAGAGCUGGUGAACGCCCCACGGCGCAUGGGAUAGUCCAUUCUUAUGAGCUGCAUGAUUUUCGAGCAUCUCAUUGAACAUUCCCAUAGGUGAAGACACUGUUCAAAAUGAUCUGAGCUAAAACUACUUCUCUUUUAUCUGUAAACCCAAAGCAUUUAAAAAAAUACAUUGUAUUUUCCAGGAAAACCACUACUGAGUACCUCAAGGGAAUACCCUGCUUUGUUUUGUUCAGGACUUUUGGAAAAGUCAUUUACCAUCGUAGAAAAUCACAUGAGCAAUGCCCCCACCAGUCACAGAAGCUGAGUGUCCCCUACAGCAAAGCUGUCCGGGCCUGCCCUGCUGGCUUCCUGAUUCACAAGGCUUCUGGGUAUGGACCCUCACACCUGGAACGUUCUUAUUUAUUUCUUCCAAGCACUUGCAUGUUGAAA